AUCGCUUCUCGGCCUUUUGGCUCAUAUCAAGUGUAGUAUCUGUUCUUAUCAGUUUAAUAUCUGAUACGUCCCCCAUCGGGGGACUACAUAUUUAAAUGGAUUUUUUCGAACAGGGAGUCGGAUAUGGGGCUUGCUCCGUCCGCUCCACGCAUCGACCCGGUAUUGCAGUACCUCCGGGAAUGGUGCAACACUU
rnacentral:snRNA from 8 species